rnacentral:rRNA from 1 species
AGUGAACGCUGGCGGUAGGCCUAACACAUGCAAGUCGAACGGCAGCACAGUAAGAGCUUGCUCUUACGGGUGGCGAGUGGCGGACGGGUGAGGAAUACAUCGGAAUCUACUUUUUCGUGGGGGAUAACGUAGGGAAACUUACGCUAAUACCGCAUACGACCUACGGGUGAAAGCAGGGGAUCUUCGGACCUUGCGCGAUUGAAUGAGCCGAUGUCGGAUUAGCUAGUUGGCGGGGUAAAGGCCCACCAAGGCGACGAUCCGUAGCUGGUCUGAGAGGAUGAUCAGCCACACUGGAACUGAGACACGGUCCAGACCCCUACGGGAGGCAGCAUUGGGGAAUAUUGGACAAAGGGCGCAAGCCUGAUCCAGCCAUACCGCGUAGGUGAAGAAGGCUUUCGGGUUGUAAAGCCCUUUUGUUGGGAAAGAAAAGCAUCAGGUUAAUACCCCGCUGUUCUGACGGUACCCAAAGAAUAAGCACCGGCUAACUUCGUG